UCCUUCCCAGGCGCCCCGUCCGUGUGUCCCCAGCCUCACCCGCGGUCCCUGGAGGGAGCCAGGAGGGGGGCCGUUGCCUCUGCGCGCCCGGUGCCGGGGAGCCCGCAGCACACCUCAGGAUUCUGGAAUUAUUUGGUGGGAAGAGUCGACUAUGUCCUAUUUCUGAGUGGCUGUAAUUCCAGGAUGUACGUCGGGAUCACUGGUGGUUUUGCCAGAUGAAAGUGGUGGCAAUGGUCAUCCUGCUUAUCCACUGGAUCUUGGCAUGCAUCCCUUAGGGCUUCCUGCAGGUCUUCCAAGGGAGAAGAACGCAAUUGAAGAAGAGAAAAUGACCCUGGAGCCACCUGAAGUCCUCAUGGACAUUCUCAAAAAGAUGCAUGCACUACACGUCCAGAUCCACCUGACCCCCUGAAAGAUGGACCCAACGCCAGCAGCCGUUGCUUCCACCUGCAUCACCGGCACCACGACCGGCCUCCCGGGAGCCCCUGCGCCCCACAGGCCUCUCCCCGGCCAGCCUGGACCAACAGCAGAAGCUGUCCAGCCCCGGCCAGCUCCCGACCCCACCAAAAGAGCCCCCGUGCCACACCACCCCACAAUGUCAAGAAGCCUUGAUGGAGGCUCAAUCCCCACUCGGCGCUGGGGCUGCUCCUCAAAUGCACCCAGUGGGACAGUUUCACUGAAUUUCACUGAAUUUCACUGAAUUUUUGGAGUUGGAAGGGUCCGUAGAGAUCAUCUAAUCCAACUCCCUUGCUGAAG